ACAAGCGGAUCCCUUAAAGCUGUUCUCAGUUCGGACUGCAGUCUGCAACUCGACUGCACGAAGCUGGAAUCGCUAGUAAUCGCGGAUCAGCACGCCGCGGUGAAUACGUUCCCGGGCCUUGUACACACCGCCCGUCACACCAUGGAAGUCUGCAAUGCCCGAAGCCGGUGGCCUAACCACUUAUGUGGAAGGAGCCGUCUAAGGCAGGGCAGAUGACUGGGGUGAAGUCGUAACAAGGUAAC
rnacentral:rRNA from 1 species